rnacentral:rRNA from 1 species
ACGGUAACAGGGGAGCUUGCUCCCGCUGACGAGUGGCGAACGGGUGAGUAAUGCAUCGGAACGUGCCGAAUAGUGGGGGAUAACGCACCGAAAGGUGUGCUAAUACCGCAUACGCCCUGAGGGGGAAAGUGGGGGACCGCAAGGCCUCACGCUAAUCGAGCGGCCGAUGUCGGAUUAGCUAGUUGGUGGGGUAAAGGCUCACCAAGGCGACGAUCCGUAGCGGGUCUGAGAGGAUGAUCCGCCACACUGGGACUGAGACACGGCCCAGACUCCUACGGGAGGCAGCAGUGGGGAAUUUUGGACAAUGGGGGAAACCCUGAUCCAGCCAUGCCGCGUGUCUGAAGAAGGCCUUCGGGUUGUAAAGGACUUUUGUCCGGGAGGAAACCCUGAUCGUUAAUAGCGGUCGGGACUGACAGUACCGGAAGAAUAAGCACCGGCUAACUACGUGCCAGCAGCCGCGGUAAUACGUAGGGUGCAAGCGUUAAUCGGAAUUACUGGGCGUAAAGCGUGCGCAGGCGGUGAGAUAAGUCAGCUGUGAAAGCCCCGGGCUCAACCUGGGAACUGCGGCCGAAACUGUCUCGCUAGAGUACGUCAGAGGGGGGUGGAAUUCCACGUGUAGCAGUGAAAUGCGUAGAGAUGUG